rnacentral:rRNA from 1 species
UACGUAGGUGGCGAGCGUUAUCCGGAUUUACUGGGCGUAGAGCGCUUGUAGGCGGCUUCGUAAGUUGGGCGUGAAAGCUCCGGGCUUAACCCGGAGAGGCCGCCCAAUACUGCGGAGCUCGAGGGUGCCAGAGGAAGGUGGAAUUCCUGGUGUAGCGGUGAAAUGCGUAGAUAUCAGGAGGAACACCCGUGGCGAAGGCGGCUUUCGGGGGCAUUCCUGACGCUGAGAAGCGAAAGCUAGGGGAGCAAACAGG